GCGAGUGUAGCUCAAUUGGUAGAGCAUCUGCUUGCCAUGCAGAAGGUUGUGAGUUCGACCCUCAUCACUCGCUCCA
rnacentral:tRNA from 4 species